CCUACGGGCGGCUGCAGUGGGGAAUAUUGCACAAUGGGCGCAAGCCUGAUGCAGCCAUGCCGCGUGUGUGAAGAAGGCCUUCGGGUUGUAAAGCACUUUCAGCGGGGAGGAAGGCGUUAAGGUUAAUAACCUUGUCGAUUGACGUUGCCCGCAGAAGAAGCACCGGCUAACUCCGUGCCAGCAGUCGCGGUAAUACGGAGGGUGCAAGCGUUAAUCGGAAUUACUGGGCGUAAAGCGCACGCAGGCGGUCUGUCAAGUCGGAUGUGAAAUCCCCGGGCUCAACCUGGGAACUGCAUUCGAAACUGGCAGGCUAGAGUCUUGUAGAGGGGGGUAGAAUUCCAGGUGUAGCGGUGAAAUGCGUAGAGAUCUGGAGGAAUACCGGUGGCGAAGGCGGCCCCCUGGACAAAGACUGACGCUCAGGUGCGAAAGCGUGGGGAGCAAACAGGAUUAGAUACCCCUGUAGUC
rnacentral:rRNA from 1 species